GUCCCCGUAGCUUACAAUCAAAGCAUGGCACUGAAGACGCCAAGACGGCCCUACACCCACCCAGGGACA
rnacentral:tRNA from 1 species